AGCUUUGCGCAGUGGCAGUAUUGUAGCCAAUGAGGUUUAUCCGAGGCGCGAUUAUUGCUAAUUGAGAGUUCAAGUCCCACGUUGGGUGUGGACAUCACUUAAAAAUAAAAUCUUAAAAAAAAAAAAAAAAAAAAAAGAUAGUGAUUU